rnacentral:tRNA from 1 species
GGGCCUGUAGCUCAGUUGGUAGAGCGUCUCGUUCGCAACGAGAAGGUCAGCGGUUCGAGCCCGCUCAGGUCCA